AUGCGUGCGGUGAUGAUACUAUUAUGUGGACUAGAGUUUCUGAUCUGGGUAUUAACUCAGAAGUUGAUUACAAAACCCUUGGCUGUCUGAGCACACCUUAAAUCCCCAAAAAAUUGUAGUUUUUUUUUCUUAUCGUCUAUGGGAUCAUGCUUUUUUAUAAUCCUUCAGUUUAUGCAGAAUUUCCUCAAUUUUAUAAUGCGGUUUGCUGAACUUGUUUAAAAAAUCAUGGCUUAUGAUGAUAAUAUACUUAUCUUAGCGGAUUUCAGUGAGAUUUUGGUCAAUGAUCUGAUUGUUACACACACUGAAGCCUUUGUCCUUUAAAUGACAUGAAAUAUUGUAAGAAGUAAUUGCGUCCAUUACCAAUUCCGGGGGAUAUUAUGUUCCUCCUGGAUAAUGGCUCGGACGCUAUAUUUAGAUGUGGUCAUCCUGAUUUAUGGUUUCUUUACAAUACCAUUUGGUCUUGGAAACGCCACCAACAUCU